GUGAUAUAGCUUUCUGUUCCCAUCAACUGAAACCACCAACAUUUCAGGUGUGCAUGCUGGGCAGCUGAAGCUGACAUCACAGCACAGCUGCUCUUCCUCAUCAAGAAAGCUGUGCUGCAGUGCAAUCAACUAUUACAUUUAGGCAAAGAUUACUUUUCAUCCCUAAAUGAUUGACGGUCAGAAACUCUGACCUUGUCUCUACAGACAGCAGAGAGCUGCUGCCUUUCUGUGGGUAGCAGUUCAUUUUUACCCAUCACCCCAGUUAAAUUUCACUGGGGUCUGUCUCAUUUAUAUGCCAGAACCAACACUUUGAAGCACUUUUCUUUGAUCACUUGUAGCUCAAUGGAGACACACAUUUAUGAUCAGGUCCCCCAGUUUCAGACACACUUGCACAAGCACACAGAUGACCAAUAUCUCACAGUGGUUUAACACAGUUCUGUCUGGGCUAAAGUACAGACAUCGAACGCUAUGACAGCGGAGUGUGCAGAUGAUCUCAUUACUGUCUAAAAAUGGAUAACAAAACCGAAGGAGUGCUGAAUCAUUGACAAAUACAGAGUAACAGAAUGACCUGCUUGUAUUUACCUUCAUUGAAGGAGUGGUCAGUGUGGGUAUAGCCAUGAGGCAAAAAAGACAGCUGAAGCUGAAGAGUGUGGUGAAAACAUGGUGCCGCUGCCGCCAGCAGGUUUCCAAGCAGGGAUUCGGGUAGCAGGAAGGCUUUGGUAAGCCCUCCAACAUCCAGUCCCAUUUUGUGAAUGCCAAUAAAAAAAUAGCUAGGUGUCCAUGUGUAAUUUGUGUGGAACAAUAUUGCACAAGAAGCUUAAUAGAUUUAGAAAAACGAUAACAAAAAAAAAAUAAAAAAUUGAAGAACAAAAGAUAAAUGUCCUUUUUUUUCCGAAAUUUACUCGCCCUGCUGAGUGGUGUACAGCGUUAAGAGGCCAGCAUUCGGACUCCAGAGUUUAACGACCCUAGUUCGAGUCUCUGAUAGUAGUCCGUCUGCUAGAGCAGGGUAGGCCCAGAGUGAAAGACGAAGCUCAAGCCUGCCUCCAUUUUUCUCUCUCUCUUUUUUUUUCAUUUCUUUUUACUUUUUUCAAGCCGCAAUUAAAAGCUCAGGGAAACACUUAGUUUUAAGGCGGCCUUUAAGGCACCCUAUAUAUCAGUCCAUACAGCGGUAAGGGCCAAUCUCAUGUAUCAGUUACACAUAUAUCAACGAAGGAAGAAAACAGGCCCAAACCAAAGAGGUGUGCAGGGAAAAAAUCAGGUGUGAGUGUGUGAAAUUUACUAAGUAUUGGAGUGCAAAAAUGCCUGGUCUCCAGCUCAUUUCCAAAAGGCUGGGUGCGUGAUGUGCGCGUUGUGGUCUUUAAAUAGAGGAAUUUUCCCGCUUUUGUUUGCCCGUCAUGUGGCCACAUGUGGCGGGCUAGCAGCUUAGUAACAUAGAGGCCCGGGUUCGAGCCCUACGCUCACCUCACCUACCCUACCUCUCUAUGUUCAUCUGCUAGGGGGAGGUCCAGGCAGGGGACCUUGGAGUGAAAAUUCCAAGGCCUGGACUUCCCCUGAUUU